UUUUACGGGAUCGAAUAAGGUUUGGUCAUUGUAUUCCCUGAAAGGAAUGAGAGGAGAAAAGAAACUGGAAGACCUGGCUAUCUGCAGGCCAAUGCUGGCUGCAGGUCAAUAUUGAAUGCUCUUAUGAAAACUCAUAAGACAAUAACAAAAAAAAAAAAAGAAGCUGAGGAUGCUGUUUUUAAAACAUGCUCCAUUCAAAAAAGGUGGAUUGAAAUUUAAGAAAGGUGUGACGGGUGCGUCUGCUGCAGGCAGGGAGGAUUUGACGGUCAGCCAGAGGAUUUGGAGAUAUACUGUAA
rnacentral:lncRNA from 1 species